GGCAGUAUAUUCAGAUGUAUCCUAAAAUUGGAACAAUACAGAGAAGAUUAGCAUGGACUAUGCACAAGAGUGAUGCACAGAUGCAUAAUGCAAACAUUUAUU